CCUACGGGACGCAGCAGUGAGGAAUAUUGGUCAAUGGGCGGAAGCCUGAACCAGCCAAGUCGCGUGAGGGAAUAAGGCCCUACGGGUCGUAAACCUCUUUUGCCGGGGAGCAAGGGCCGGGACGAGUCCCGGUCCGGAGAGUACCCGGAGAAAAAGCAUCGGCUAACUACGUGCCAGCAGCCGCGGUAAUACGUAGGGGGCAAGCGUUAUCCGGAUUUACUGGGUGUAAAGGGAGCGUAGACGGCGAUGCAAGUCUGAAGUGAAAGGCGGGGGCCCAACCCCCGGACUGUUUUGGAAACUGUAUU
rnacentral:rRNA from 1 species